CAGCCGCCGCGGUAAUACGGAGGGUGCAAGCGUUAAUCGGAAUUACUGGGCGUAAAGCGCACGCAGGCGGUCUGACAAGUCAGAUGUGAAAUCCCCGGGCUUAACCUGGGAACUGCAUUUGAAACUGUCAGGCUGGAGUCUUGUAGAGGGGGGUAGAAUUCCAGGUGUAGCGGUGAAAUGCGUAGAGAUCUGGAGGAAUACCGGUGGCGAAGGCGGCCCCCUGGACAAAGACUGACGCUCAGGUGCGAAAGCGUGGGGAGCAAACAGGAUUAGAUACCCCAGUAGUCCCUGUCUCUUAUAU
rnacentral:rRNA from 1 species